CUAUAAACAGACACUUAAAUGAACGAGCUCAGCCUUUAAAGAAUCCUUUGAAGAAAGAUUGCAACGUGACUAAUCAUCUCCUAAUUUAUUGGUUUGAGACGACUGGUCCAGCCCUGAUUUUGCCAUCCGCUGGCAGCAUGCCCAGCCCCAGGAAACACAUCUGUGUACAUAUCCGUCUGUACACGUGUGCGUGUACAUGUGAGACACAGGGUAUGAAGCCCAGGACCCAGCGGGGCUGAUGUGAUCAUUGAGACUGCCACUUGGGGUUGAGGGUUAGAUGUUUUCUUUGGGUGAAUUUCUAGAAAUGGUGU
rnacentral:lncRNA from 1 species